UUUCUCUCUUUCAUAAUAACUGAGAUACCCUGCAAACCCAUCGAAAUUUCGACACGCUGUACACUUCUCUCUUAUACAUGUUGGUUUGUGACGACAAUAAUUUUUUUGGUUAUCGUUAAAAAUUGGAAUAAAUUGAUGCAAAUUUGAACAAGAAUUGACAUAAAAAUGGAAUAUAGAGGUUAUGGUUUUCAGACAAAAUAAAAAGAGAAUCUUUGGAUUAUUACAAUUUUUGUGCUAUUUGGAGCUGUUUGUAAAUUAUUGUGUAGUAUUGCCGAAAAAAUGUUAUACAGGUUUUUUUAAGUAGUGGAACAUUCAUUUUCUGUAGGUUACGCUUAUCUUGAAAUUCGUUCCAAGUAAUGGAUUAGAGGCUGAUAAUGAAUUUCUAAGAACUAUAAAUCAAAUACACCUUGUCACGCCUGAAAUCGUUAGCGUUGAUAUCUACAUUGAAAAUCCACACAAACAAGGACAAUCCCAAUUCCUCAACUUUUCCAACCCAAGUGUUGUUGCCGCAGGCGCCACCUCGUUAAUCCUGCGACACCCACUAACGAGGAAGUGACGAUGUGUGUGAAAUAGGAUUAAGGUUUUUCAAAAUUCCAAAAUGGCUGUGGAUGGAUACCACGAUUCGUCGUGUCAAAAAUUUCGAUAUAAAUCGACAAUAUAUAACGGCUCAA
rnacentral:lncRNA from 1 species